UCAGUCGACUCCUACGGGGAGGCAGCAGUGGGGGAAUAUUGCACAAUGGGCGCAAGCCUGAUGCAGCCAUGCCGCGUGUAUGAAGAAGGCCUUCGGGUUGUAAAGUACUUUCAGCAGUGAGGAAGGUGGGUAUGUUAAUAGCAUACUCAUUUGACGUUAGCUGCAGAAGAAGCACCGGCUAACUCCGUGCCAGCAGCCGCGGUAAUACGGAGGGUGCGAGCGUUAAUCGGAAUUACUGGGCGUAAAGCGCAUGCAGGUGGUUUGUUAAGUCAGAUGUGAAAGACCCGGGGCUCAACCUCGGAAUUGCAUUUGAAACUGGCAAACUAGAGUACUGUAGAGGGGGGUAGGAAUUUCAGGUGUAGCGGUGAAAUGCGUAGAGAUCUGAAGGAAUACCGGUGGCGAAGGCGGCCCCCUGGACAGAUACUGACACUCAGAUGCGAAAGCGUGGGGAGCAAACAGGAUUAGAUACCCUGGUAG
rnacentral:rRNA from 1 species